UUGCAUCUCACUACUACAUAAAGCGUUUUAUUUGUUUCAAUGUUUGCUGGAAGCACAAUCAACAGGUCAGCUUCUUGAAAAGAAAAAAGAAAUAAGAGACACAAUUUUCUUGUUGAAAUAUGAAUGUAGCGAACAUGUCACAUGAUCCAUUCACGUGAUAGCUAAUUUAAGGGAGGGAAGGGAGAUAAUACAAUGAUUCUGACCCAAAUAAAAUGUAAUUAAUAAUAAACAAACAUAAAAUGACUCUAUCACUUGUGACAGAAAUAGAAAAAAAAACAACACCAGACUGUUGUAGUGAGGAGACUCAACAAAAAUCUAAACAGUGACUCGUAGUAUCUCUACGUUGAACAACACAGAAGUUUCAUGUACAGGAAGAAAUUAAAAGUGUACAGAAGACGUUGAAAAUAUAAAAAUAUGAAGUGAACAAUAUCCAAAGGUAACCUAAACAAAACACAAAUGAUCAAACUAAUAUUCAAAAUAAGUGUCAUAUCCCUGGCACAACAGCUACAAUACAUUGUGAUCUUUUCAAACUUUGUUCCUGAAAUGUGUUCACCAAGACAUGGCCGUGGAAUUUUUAAUGAAUGAAACUUUGUUCUGUUAUCGUUUUAUAUAUUUCAAAACAACUUGCUGGGAAAUAAUCUAAAUAGUUCAAAGAACUUCCCUAGGGAAAAAAAAAAAAAAGCAAAAUCAUGUUCACGAUGGUUCACAUAGAAAAAAAAAUAGAUUGAUGACAUCUUCACUUUUAUUAAAUAGUGGAAUACUUUCAUUUAGUUGUUGCUUUUUUUUUUUUUUUUAUGAAAGAAACUUGCCUAUACAUAUUUACAUAUGCAUUCAUUGACCCAUCUCUCAACUGAAUUAUACAAGUUUCCGAGUGUGUGUAUAGACAAAAGUUUUUUAAAAGUACAUUACACACACAUAUAUUUUACAAAAGUGAAUUAUCCAUAAAAAAAAAAAAAAAAAAAAAAAAAAAA